CCUACGGGAGGCAGCAGUGGGGAAUUUUGGACAAUGGGCGCAAGCCUGAUCCAGCAAUGCCGCGUGCAGGAUGAAGGCCUUCGGGUUGUAAACUGCUUUUGUACGGAACGAAACGGUGAGCUCUAAUACAGUUUGCUAAUGACGGUACCGUAAGAAUAAGCACCGGCUAACUACGUGCCAGCAGCCGCGGUAAUACGUAGGGUGCGAGCGUUAAUCGGAAUUACUGGGCGUAAAGCGUGCGCAGGCGGUGAUGUAAGACAGAUGUGAAAUGCCCGGGCUCAACCUGGGACCUGCAUUUGUGACUGCAUCGCUAGAGUACGGUAGAGGGGGAUGGAAUUCCGCGUGUAGCAGUGAAAUGCGUAGAUAUGCGGAGGAACACCGAUGGCGAAGGCAAUCCCCUGGACCUGUACUGACGCUCAUGCACGAAAGCUGGGGAGCAAACAGGAUUAGAUACCCUGGUAGUCCCACGACCUAACGAUGUCACUGUUGUUGGUUCGUUCU
rnacentral:rRNA from 1 species